CGGACGGGUGAGUAACACGUGGAUAACCUACCUAUAAGACUGGGAUAACUUCGGGAAACCGGAGCUAAUACCGGAUAAUAUAUUGAACCGCAUGGUUCAAUGGUGAAAGACGGUUUUGCUGUCACUUAUAGAUGGAUCCGCGCCGCAUUGGCUAGUUGGUAAGGUAACGGCUUACCAAGGCAACGAUGCGUAGCCGACCUGAGAGGGUGAUCGGCCACACUGGAACUGAGACACGGUCCAGACUCCUACGGGAGGCAGCAGAU
rnacentral:rRNA from 1 species